rnacentral:tRNA from 1 species
GCCUCUAUGGCUCAUUGGUAGAGCAUCUGUCUUGUAAACAGAAAGUCGAUGGUUCAAUCCUGCAUGAAGGCG